rnacentral:lncRNA from 1 species
UCGGGGAGGUAUCUUCAUGUAGUGCCCCAGUUUGAAGUCUUGCAAGAAAGUCAACGCCUGUGUCAUACUGAUAUAGCCGUAUACCUUAAAGCACAUGUUGGCGACCGGGCGGCCGGGAUACAGGUACCCCAUGACGUAUUCUGUAAUGAUGUUUAGGCCUGGCGUCUACUUCAUCGAUCGAGAGAGAAUCAAUCGGAUUAGUUGACUUGGUGAAGGAGAUGCAUGCCAAGGAGUAGCGAGUACACACCUGGUUCGUGGUGGCCGUGAUGAUUCCGAUGGGAAGCGUGAAGAAAAUGGCAAUGAAGCAGGCUAGCAGCACACCCCACCAGGGCAGCUGGAGCUGAUCGAUGUAGUACUCGCAGGCGAAGAUGGUAAGAGCGAUGUUGGCGACGAGGAUGACGAUGAACC